AAAAGGUAACGGAGGAGUUCAUUAAGGUCGGCUAGGUGCGGAUGGAAAUCGCGCCGAUAGGGUAAAGCCACAAGCCGGCUUUACUGCAAGGCAAAUAAGCCGCGCAGUUGCGAAAGCAGGACUUAGUGAACCGACCGUUUUCCCGACUCUUUUGGGUUUAUUCUUAAGAGGGUUGGGACUUCGUAGAACGGCGGAAGAUUACCAGAUAAAAGCUACUCCGGGGAUAACAGGCUGGUUUCGCCCGAGAGUCCAUAUCGACGGCGAAGCUCGGCACCUCGAUGUCGGCUCAUCACAUCCUGGGGGUGGAGAAGCUCCCAAGGGUUCGGCUGUUCGCCGAUUAAAGUGAUACGCGAGCUGGGUUCAAACCGU
rnacentral:rRNA from 1 species